GAAGUUUCCCUCAGGAUAGCUGGUGCAUUUGAAAAUUAUGUAAAGUAAUCUUAUGUGGUAAAGCGAAUGAUUAGAGGCCUUAGGUUCGAAACGACCUUAACCUAUUCUCAAACUUUAAAUGGGAUAGAACCACACCUUUCUUGGUGUGAAGGUGUGGUUGUGAUAUAAUGUGCCCAGUGGGCCACUUUUGGUAAGCAGAACUCGCGCUGUGAGAUGAACCAAACGUAAUGUUAUGGUGCCCAAAAGCGAAGCAGUUCUUUAGUUCUUUUGAGUCUAUUUUCUUUCUGUUGCGAUUUAAGUU
rnacentral:ncRNA from 1 species